rnacentral:ncRNA from 2 species
UAAUACUGUCAGGUAAUGAUGAC